UACAGAGGUCUCAAGCGUUGUUCGGAUUCAUUGGGCGUAAAGGGUGUCGUAGGCGGCGCGGUAAGUCGGGUGUGAAAUCUUGGAGCUUAACUCCGAAACUGCAUUCGAUACUGCCGUGCUUGAGGACUGGAGAGGAGACUGGAAUUUACGGUGUAGCGGUGAAAUGCGUAGAUAUCGUAAGGAAGACCAGUGGCGAAGGCGGGUCUCUGGACAGUUCCUGACGCUGAGGCACGAAGGCCAGGGGAGCAAACGGG
rnacentral:rRNA from 1 species